AAUGUUUAAAUAAAAGUUAGAAAGUGACGAAAGAAUAAGUACGAUAAAAAAUUUGAUAGCCUGCAUACCGACAACCUCCUGGACUGUGUGGAGAAGUUCUAGGGACGCCACGGAUAGCAACAAACAAAACACCGACAUUAAAGCUGAAAAGAUGUAGAUCAAAUCUAAGGUCGGGUACUCGUGAACGUAAUGCUUGACGGCAACGGAUUCGAUGGCGGUAGUGAAGGAACUCCAAACACCCAGUAUAAUUCCUAUGGGGGCAACAUGGCUCUCAAAACGUACACCAAAGCCAAAGCCAAGCAUUACAAGUAAACAACCGCCAAAGGGAAAUAAGCGAGUUUUUUGCUUCAACAAUACAAAUGAAAGGAGAAUUGUAAAGGGUAGCAACAAACCUCUGGAAAUUUGGUAAAAUGAGACAGGUACAAAAGCCAAGCAAUAGGUCUUACUAACGAUGCCAAGAAUCUUGACAAAGAUAAACUUUUUAAGUUGAAUUGCAGAAGCUAAUCUUAGGGUUUGAAAAUGAACGGAGGAGAAUCGCCAAUACAUCUUUACCAUGAGAGAUGUGAAUGCCAUUUGAAACGACAACAUCAGAAGUGGUGCGUUGAUGAUAUUGAGAGCUUGCUUGUUGAGAAUGGUAACUAGGAUAGCGAAAACGAUUUGGGAGGAAACCGCAAAAAAUAUGGUCAGUCGUGAAACAGGAGCAUUUUCCGAGUCGGGCUCUUUUGCAUUGGCCUCGAGAACACUCAUCUCCUCCAACUUCCUGGUUGAUAUACCAUCCUCAAUAUCUUUCGACAAGGGAUCAUCCGACUUGGAAAAAUACAAGGAAGAUUUGCCAGUGGAGUCGGUUUCCAUAGAGUCCAACGCCGUUUGGCUAUCAAUGUGGUCUAAAGGAUCUUCAUCCUUUAAAGGAGAGUAAUGCGCAUUGACGGUUAGCUUGGAACUCAUUUUAGUUAAAUCGUUAUGCUUUUUUAUUGAAGAAAGUAUUAGAGGCGUGAAGAAGAAUUAAAACAAUAAAAUUUCAUAAACAACCAAACAAAAAGAUACUUCUACUCUGCCCAGAAGAGUCGGCUAGAUGACAAGUAUGCAAUGAGGAGCGGCGGCUUAAAAAAAUGAACGACCUUUUGCACCACUUUUCCAACGUGAUUCACGUUAGUACCGAUACAAUACAAAGGGGAGAUAUUAACGAACAAAUAACAAAAGACAGAAGACGCAAACGAAUUUCACCAACACAGUAAUAAGUUACACGUUUGCUUCCAACUGCACAGUAUUAAGAAUACGAUGUGGUAGGAAAAAUGUAAGCCUAGGAAGCACUUGGGAGGCGUUUUUACACGAGAACGCGAAGCUGCUUAUAAGGAGGAUGCAAGUCACAAAAUUGAAGGUAUUUUUUAUAAGGGAAUUAGACGAGACGGCCUUGAGGUGACAGCUUCAAGAAAAGCACAUACGCCUUGAUAAGAGGGGGUUGAGUCUUGUUUGUUAGAAGGGAGAGAAGUAGUAAUAUUGAAUGUCGAUGAGCCAGAGGAAGGGGAGAGAAAAGCGAAAAGGGUGCUGGUGGAAAGGAAGAAAGCAAAGAGGUAGGCACAAUAAAGUGACCAAAUAAUAAAAAAAAGAAAAGAACAAAAAAAAAGUAAGUGAAAUAUGAAGGAACGAAAAAUAAUUAGGAAGAAUAAUUUAAGAA